GCGCCUGCGCAGAGCAAGGUGCUCAAGGGCUGGGAGGCGGAGCCCUCCUGCUUUCGAGCCUGGGCACGGAGGCUAAAGGAGAUCCCUGAGAAGGAAGCGUCCGGAGUGGGGUGGCUGGUUGGAGCGACGCCGGUGUUUCCAGAUCGGGUGUGUGUGUGUGUUUGCCUUCGAUCGGCCAUUAAGCGCCUAAAACAAAGAAGCAAAGAGCGAGAAGGUGAUUGAUCAUCGAAAGUUGACUAUUUGGUUUUUUAUUCUGGCCUCCCUGAGCAGGCGUCCUCGUGGUUCUUUCUUCCUUCCCGCCCUUUUCCUCCCCUUUUUGGCGGGUAAAAUUGGAGGCAGGAGGAAAGGGCUGGUCCUGAGGGGAGGAGGAAGGCGCCGGCCGCCAUCUUCUCCUUCACGGUCCUUUUCCCUUUGAAGGGGCUCACAGGAAAUCUCUCACACCACACAUUUUACUAAACGUUGGAAAAGCUCCUUAAGGCUACCCGUUCCUGGGUGGGAAUUGGCCUCAGGGCGAGUGCAAGGAGGAAGAAGAGGAGGCAGGACAUGAGACUCAGCUGCUCUAUUCUUCCUUUCUCAAGACCAAAAGCAAAGAAUAAAACUCCAAUACAUUC